GAUGAACGCUUGCGAUGUGUCUAAGGCAUGCAAGUCGAAUGCUAGUAGCAAUACUGGCAUGGCAAACGGGAGAGUAACACAUUGGUAACUUACCUCGAAGUCGGGCAUAACCCGGAGAAAUCCGGAGUAAUUCCCGAUGGCCGUGGGGGGACAAAAGUCAUUCCCACGUAAAGUUUUUUCGCUUCGAGAGAGACCUAUGUUCUAUCAGCUAGUUGGUAAGGUAACGGCUUACCAAGGCUACGACGGAUAGCGGGUGUGAGAGCAUGGCCCGCCUCACUGGGACUGAGAAACUGCCCAGACUCCUACGGGAGGCUGCAGUCAAGAAUCUUCCUCAAUGGCCGAAAGGCUGAAGGAGCGACAUCGCGUGCAGGAGGAAGCCCUUCGGGGUGUAAACUGCUUUUCUCUGGGAAGAAACAAUGACGGUACCAGAGGAAUAAGGGGUUGCUAAACUCGUG
rnacentral:rRNA from 1 species